CGUUGCACCGUGAGACGAGAAAUCCUCCGACGUCCGACUCCGACGUUAUUCGAUUCGAGCUGGGAGAGAGUGAGAGCUCCGAUGCUGCACAACUUAAACCGUAAACUCUCUUUGUCGUUCAGUAAAUAAAGAUAGAGAUGGCGAGAGUGUCGCUGGCGGGAAGGAGACAACGGUAUGAUAUUUUUUUUUUAAUUUUUUAAAGAGAGAAAGAUUUAAGUCUGGAUGAGGUUCACGAGGUAUGGAACUAAACUCUUGGUCUUUACUCUUUAUGAGUAAAAUGCCAUUGUAUGAGAAAUAUAUAUAAAUAUAUAUGUGAUUAUGUAGACUAUAAUCUUAGCAGGAGGUAUCGCUCUUCCCGCAAAUAGAUUUUGUAAAAGUUAAUUAUUUUAUAUGUUACAGAAUUACGAAAAUUUAAAUUAUUUGAAUUUAAUGGCGGGAGAAAUAAAAGAAUAAAGAAGAAAAAAUUAUAAUUGUUAAUUAUAAAUAUAAUGGAAUAUUCUGGAGACUCGAUGAUACAUCAAGUUCAAUAGUUAUCACUAAUAUAACUUUUAAUGACGUCAUUAAUAAUGACCACAUUCCUCUUCCUCAUGGUUAUACUUUGCUGCCACGGUUGCAGUUUGUUAUAAAUAAUUAAUUGUGAUGCGUCAUUAAUUUUCAGUGAAAUAAACAACUUAAUGGCGACGAUUUAACGGCGCGGAUUUUUGAAGGACAUUUAAAAUGUCCCGGUUUUUUAAAUUUAUUGAGAAAUUAUAUUUGCGAAUGAUUUUGUAAAUUAAUUUAACUGAUAAUUAAGUGAAAUUAUUUUAUCUUAAAAUAUGUUAAAAUAUACGAAAUUUUGAGUUUA